rnacentral:ncRNA from 2 species
AUCCGCCGCGCGGGAGAGACCGGCCGCUCCGUCAGGGGAUAAGCCGGCGCCGAAGGAGCAACCGCCCCCGGAAACUCUCAGGCACCAGGGACCGCGCGGGUCAG